AGGCACCAGAAUCUUAGAAGAUCAGCUCUGGACCCCAUAUACCGGAGUGAGAAGUAAAACGCCACUGGGACAAUGAUUGCAUAGCCAUAGAUUAAAGAUGCUGCCAAGUUUAUAUAGUUCACAUCAAAGACCCAAGGUGCUUCACUGUUGGUUCGUUUCUUCACGAGGUACGUGGCACAGUUUCCGAGAGAGGAAAGCACAAACACAAGCGUGGUGCAGAUCCAGACAAGGCCAUACCUAACAGAGAGAGGCGAAACCCACACAGACAAGUCAUUUAUCUGGAAACUUGUUCAAGACCAAGGAUAACAUGUUUCCUAUGUUGCAGACUAUGAAAUAGAUAGAAGCUUAAAUAUAAUGUGAGGAACUGUUUUAACAAGCUACAGCUAACAAGCUAUAGCAUAUGAAAACUGGAUCUGGAUGCAGGCGUAAGUCUAUAGUACCUAAGCUCAGAUGGAAUAUUCAAGCAGCAAAGGUAUAAUACCACAAACCUAUGACAUAUCAAUUUUACUAGUGAGAAAUUUAAUGUUCUAUCGGAAAAGAUAACAGUUAACAUGGUAACAAAACAACAGGCUGAAGAAAUAGUGGAGUUAUUAAGGAAAUCUCAUUGGAAGAUGCCAAAGAAUUCUAUAUCAGAGCAAUCACUGAGAAGAGUCACAGAAGAAAGGGUAUUGAAAGACUUACAAAUCAGGGUUGGCAUCAAUCUUGCUGAAAAAAUCACCACUGGUGGGGUACAAGGAACUCAUCAGUCUGUUCAAAACAACGUCCGUGUCCACGUUGAAGUACUGGGCGUAUGAGUAGACGUUAAAGUAUCCCUUCCAGUUGUUUGAUGGCUGCUGUUCAGGUCCUUCUACAAGACAGAACAAAGUACUUUUAUCUAGGAUCUGGACUCAGAUAAGCAUUCUUUCAACCAUGAUGAAAAGUUAGACGUUACUUCGAAUACAAAACAAGCACUUACUACAAUUACUUGAUUCAUAGAGACUACUGUCUACUGAUAAACAUGUCUUUAAGAAGAAAAAAAAAAGCCAAAAGGAGCAUAUAUAAUACCUGUUGGGCUCUCAAGAGUUUGAUAACCCUUUGCUCCAUUGUUUCCUUGAUGUGGUGGAAAUAUCUGCAUGUUUGCAGAAGGACCUGCAGAGCAAUAAACACACAACAUUCAAAAACUCUUUCCUUACAAUACUGAAAAAGCUAGCUUCUAGCAAAAGAACAUACCUUCGUUUACGCUUGCUAUAUGCACAUUCGUGCUUUUCUUGUCUUCAUCGCUGAUCACAGCCUUCAAAGUACAUAUGUUUUAUUUUUGUAUUAGAAAGAAUGAAAGUGAAUAUCUCAAUCCAAUCAUGGAAGCAUUUAAAACCCAAAAGACAACAACUUCUCAUAAAAGGAAAGUCCUUUAUCCUAAUCAGACACAAACCCAUUUGGAAGAUUCUAAAAAUUGGUGGAAUCGGAGAAGCAAAGGAUGUGUGUUUGCUAGACUUACGGGAACUGAACCGAGCAAAUGGCUCGUCUGUAGAUUAGAGAACGACUCAUCCAUCGAAGAUUAGUUGAUCGAAAGGGAGAUUCUUUAUCUCAUCCACUAAAACGAUAAGAUCGGAAGAUCAGCUCUGGACCCCAUAUACCGGAGUGAGAAGUAAAACGCCACUGGGACAAUGAUUGCAUAGCCAUAGAUUAAAGAUGCUGCCAAGUUUAUAUAGUUCACAUCAAAGACCCAAGGUGCUUCACUGUUGGUUCGUUUCUUCACGAGGUACGUGGCACAGUUUCCGAGAGAGGAAAGCACAAACACAAGCGUGGUGCAGAUCCAGACAAGGCCAU
rnacentral:lncRNA from 1 species